AGACACUUAACCGACUGCGCCACCCAGGCACCGUGAACAUGUGUUUUUAAAAUAGAAGGUAUUGCAUACACACUGGGUAUUGCAUUAGAGGCUCUUGGUGGGGGAAUGGCUAAGAAGCUCAUGGAAGGAUUUCAGGAGAAAGUGAGCCAGCUUGGAAAGCCACCAGGGUCAACGAACACUGAUGUGAAAAUGGAACCACACCUGCCGUGUACGUCUUUGUUUUUCCCUCUCAAUCCACCUCGCUGACAACCUGAGGCAGGAGGCCAAGCAAGAAGAGAGAAUCUCCCCACAUCCACCUCCCUCACCCCAGGCCUCGAGACCCAAUACAGUUCUCAGCCAGGACAGAGGAGAAGCUUUCAUCCUUAAUAAAGUUUGACAUUUUGAUUAUUA